UUGAAAAUCUCCGUUGUGUUGCAACGGCGAAUUGUAGUUUCGAGAAGUACUUUCCAGGCGCGUCGGGUUUGCCUAAGUUGCUUGGAACAGCACGUCAUAGAGGGUGACAACCCCGUACGUGGCAAUGCCCGGGCGCUCGCGAUGUGCUUUCGAAGAGUCGGGUUGUUUGGGAAUGCAGCCCAAAACGGGUGGUAAACUCCAUCUAAAGCUAAAUACAGGCACGAGACCGAUAGCGAACAAGUACCGUGAGGGAAAGAUGAAAAGGACUUUGAAAAGAGAGUUAAAAAGUACGUGAAACCGUUGAAAGGGAAGCGAAUGGAGUUAGCAAUUCGCCCUGCCAGAUUCAGUUGCUCGUGCCUCGCGACGUGCGCGCUCUCGAUCCGCAUGGACGARACGUGUGCGGGCGCGGCGUGCGGUCGGCGCACUUCUGGCGAGCGAGCGUCAGCGUCGGUUGCCGGCGGGCGACAAGGACACGAGGAAGGUGGACCGGCCUUUACGGUCGGUUGUUAAGCCUCGUGCUCGCAUAGCCCGACGGCGACCGUGGCCCUGCGACGCGUGCCUGGCUGGUGACUCGUACGAUCGGUCUGGCAUAACGACCGUGGCGGACGGCACGCCUGUGCGCUCGAACCGCUGCCGGUCGAUCGAACGAUGUUCGCACACUACG
rnacentral:rRNA from 1 species